CAGCCUUCUAUCCUCGGCCGGUGGAGAGAGCGCCUCGGCCGGCAUGCGUUUAAUCGUUUGUGGAGCUGCUGUUCUCUAUCCAAGGCAACGAAUACACCCAGAUACAUAUCAUAGUCUGAACGUCAAAAUGUUUUAUUUUGAUUCUUCUUUUAAAAUAGUGUAUUUAUUUUGAGCAAAUAAAGAGUUUAUAUCGUAAACCGUAUAAGCGAUUAAGUUUUACUUUAACGCGGAGACCUAUAAAAACGAUGAGUUCACAAUAAAUAUUUUGAUGUAAAUCCAUGGGGUUUUUGUUUUGUUUUUUUUGUUUUUUACUUUUUUGUUGGAUGAACGCUUUCACAUCAAAUAGGAAAAUGUACGGAACGCUUCGAUUACGCAGCUCAUCCAAACCUAAUGUAUUAUAUAUUGAAAAAUAUUUCAUAAUUUAUGUUUCUGAAUUGCUAUUGACAGACUGAUUUAAAACUAUUAGGCUGUCCCAAACGCUGUGGUGUAGGGGCGCGCAGCGGUAUCCGUUCGGCAUCGCGCCUUAGAUUUUUAUUCGAGAAGACGGGUACUUGUUGUGAAGUUUCAAACAUUGUAUUAUUGAGAAUUGCUUUACGGGAAAGGACAGCAGCUAAUAAACCGGACAUUGCCGCUUUAAAUGCUGCCCCGGGUCAUUCGAAAAGCACCAGACCCAGAUGCCUGGCUGAAGCAGGGAGAAAAGAAAACAUCUGAGUGAAUCAGACAAAACUCAAGCGGGAAUGCGGUAUCAGGUGGGGGCGCUAAAAUGUGUCUUUGGGGACUGAAGAAGGUACUCGUUGCCCGAGCCAGCGUUGACAAUCAUAAUCGUGCCGGAGAGAGCGAUGAAGCCCUAGACAGGAAGUUGUCAAAUGAAGGAUGCUGUCCUCCUCCCAUCAAAAACUAGAGUGGGCGGUGCCCCUGCAGCGACCAAGCUGACCAGUUUUAGGGAGAACGUGUGCAUGCAGGCACAGAGGACCGACAUCCCUUUCUAAAAGGAGAGCCCUCCCCAGUGCCCUCAUUCACAGCCAGAGGAGGCGAAGCGAGGCUCAUAACAGUGAUGUUCGCUAACCCUCUUUCUUUUAUUGCCGCGCAGUAGAGAUCUGUUAGCGUCUAUCCGCCUGGCUCUGCGAUGUCUACGCUUCUCACACAGGAGGUCUUCCGGCCACACUGGAGCACACACACACACACACGAGCUUAAAACAAAAGCUCCUUUUAGCAGUGCUCUCUGUCUUAAGGGUCACAUGACUAGCAUCGCCCCCGCGGCGGUACAGGAAGGUUUGGGAGGGCGUUGGCAAACUGCAUUGUAACGGAACCAUUGACCCGGGGUCAUUUUCCAUAAAAUGAAUUUGCUGGAAGUGGUGGGGUGAGGAUCACGUUGGGUUGAGAUAGAUGAAUGCUUAGAAGCACCUCUCAAAGAUGGCAGUACAGGAGGGGGGCGUGGUUUACGGAAAAAGCGGCAGAGUUUGAGGAUACAGCUCAGAGGGAAGAAUUAAUGAGCAGACCUGUAGCCGCUUCUCAAUUUUAGAACUGAGGGGGGAGAGAGUUUCUUCCUUACAGAUACUGUAUCUGUACACUCGUCCCAUUGUCAAAAUGCCCCUUGUCAGUUUAGGAGGCAUAAACUAGUGUGUGUGUCCUCCAAAACAUGCACUCAGCAAACUGCUCCUUGUCUUUCCGACCUGCCAGCCCGUGCCACCAAAACUACUGCAACAGAAAGGCGAGUCAGUUUGACUGCGAUUAGUUGGCUGGAGGAACUGCUGUGGAGCGGUGAGUUCGGGGUAACCUUGCAGAAUUAAUCCGUCCACCCCCGAGUAAUGCCAUAAACACCCGUCCAUCGCCACACCAGCAGCCCGGGCUGUUUGGACUACAAUCAGUUUUUCCUCUUUUAAUCACUAUACAGAGUAGUUAUUAGUGUUUGUUAUUAAAUGACUUCUGAAGGCUUC